UGGGGAAUAUUGCACAAUGGGGGAAACCCUGAUGCAGCAACGCCGCGUGCGGGAUGACGGCCUUCGGGUUGUAAACCGCUUUCAGCCAUGACGAAGCUUUUGUGACGGUAGUGGCAGAAGAAGCACCGGCUAACUACGUGCCAGCAGCCGCGGUGAUACGUAGGGUGCGAGCGUUGUCCGGAAUUAUUGGGCGUAAAGAGCUUGUAGGCGGUUUGUCGCGUCGAAAGUGUAAACUCAGUGCUUAACGCUGAGCCUGCUUUCGAUACGGGCUAACUAGAGGAAGGUAGGGGAGAAUGGAAUUCCCGGUGGAGCGGUGGAAUGCGCAGAUAUCGGGAGGAACACCAGUGGCGAAGGCGGUUCUCUGGACCUUUCCUGACGCUGAGAAGCGAAAGCGUGGGUAGCAAACAGG
rnacentral:rRNA from 1 species